AUUUGUAAAAGUAUAUAGGCAACUUUUGUAAUUUUAAAAAGUGACGUUGCGUCUUGUAAAGGGGCAUUUUUCUGGAUCAGACCGGUCUUCAGCAAAUCACAUUUUGGGUAUACAAUGACGGAUUUAAUCGGGAAAAAGACCCAAUUGUGAUGUUUAUGUGACAUAUAGGAGUGCCAAGAAAGAAGCUCAUCAAAGUACCUCCACAGUCCUGAGCCUCAGACCUUCAGGAUAGACGAAACCUACAAGAGGGAGGGGUGUGCUGGGACUGGUUACUCCCGAUGACCCUACCGGAGAGAGUAGAGACGAGCUGGAUAAAGCCAUCAUGAACCUUACCAUAAAAAAACACAAGGACCACAUCAAGUCAACAAAGGAGGAAUUCCGACCUGUGUUAAUUAAGAGGAUCUAAAGCAGCACUUAGAUCUUAUGUACAGAUUCUGUCAGACCUGGGCCCUGCACAGACCUGGGCCCUGUCAGACCUGGGCCCUCACAGACCUGGGCCCUGCACAGACCUGGGCCCUGCCAGACCUGGGCCCUAACAAGGACCUGAGCCCUAGCACCAUGCUCCAGGACUACCUGACAUGAUGACUCCUUGCUGUCCCCAGUCCACCUGGCCGUGCUGCUGCUCCAGUUUCAACUGUUCUGCCUUAUUAUUAUUCGACCAUGCUGAUCAUUUAUGAACAUUUGAACAUCUUGGUCAUGUUCUGUUAUAAUCUCCACCCGGCACAGCCAGAAGAGGACUGGCCACCCCACAUAUGCUCUCUCUAAUUCUCUCUUUCUUUCUCUCUCUCGGAGAACCUGAGCCCUAGGACCAUGCCCCAGGACUACCUGACAUGAUGACUCCUUGCUGUCCCCAGUCCACCUGACCGUGCUGCUGCUCCAGUUUCAACUGUUCUGCCUUAUUAAUAUUCGACCAUGCUGGUCAUUUAUGAACAUUUGAACAUCUUGGCCAUGUUCUGUUAUAAUCUCCACCCGGCACAGC
ensembl:lncRNA